AUCAAUGCCGGUACAGGUAAA
rnacentral:siRNA from 1 species